rnacentral:piRNA from 1 species
UACAAAGAUGACCUUGGUGAUGCCCUCAG